rnacentral:rRNA from 1 species
UACCAGCACCCCGAGUGGUCGGGACGAUUAUUGGGCCUAAAGCAUCCGUAGCCGGUUUUACAAGUCCCCCGUUAAAUCCAGCUGCUUAACAGAUGGGCUGCGGAGGAUACUAUAAGACUAGGAGGCAGGAGAGGCAAGCGGUACUCAGUGGGUAGGGGUAAAAUCCGUUGAUCCAUUGAAGACCACCAGUGGCGAAGGCGGCUUGCCAGAAUGCGCUCGACGGUGAGGGAUGAAAGCUGGGGGGAGCAAACCGG